GCGCGCGCGGAGAGGUCGACCCAGUGGCGUUCGUGCCGCCACGGCGAGAACGGGACGUCGACGAUCGCGCCGUCGGCGGGUGCG
rnacentral:tRNA from 1 species